UGAAGCCUUAACCCACACACGUAUCGACACGGUAUCCUGGGUGCCCGCGAGGGUUGGAUAUUGGGAUGCGUGGAGGCCUAACC
rnacentral:sRNA from 1 species